rnacentral:lncRNA from 1 species
AUUUCUUUAAAAUCCAAAUAUCCAACUCCAAAGCAAAUAAGGCAUAAUGCCAAGACCUGAUAAAGCUGGGUGGGAGAGACAGCUAAUUAUCACAUUAUUCCCUGUCUCAGGAUUAUAUUUGAAAAACAUCUCAAAAAUUUAUUUUUAAAUGUUUAGUAAAAACAGGCAUUUCCCUUUAUUUUGAGGAGACAAGGCUUAAGAAUCAAGUUAAAUGUGUUUUUGCUCUGCAUUAGUCUAAUCCAAUCGCUAAAACAGACGGAGGACUAAAGAACUGCUACAUUAUAAAGGAGUCCAGGUGUAAAAACAAACACUCUGAGAAAGAAAACUACGUACUAUAAAACACCUAGAAAAAAAGUUGUUUUUAAAACAGCAUUCACUGUUUUCUCAAUUAUAAAAGAAUUUGUGCUAUGUGUAAGAGGAGAAGAAAAACUUCGGGGGGGGAAAAAAAACAAAGAAAAAUGUUACCCAUGAAUUACCCUAUCACCCAACCAUAACUAUUAAUAUUCUGAUGGGAGUAGCUGUCUAGGAUUUGUUAUGUGCAUUUUUUACUUACAAAAAUGGCAUACCAUAUAUACAUUCUGUUUUGUAGACAGCUUAUUUGAACAGCUUUUUUAUUAGAAUAUUCAUGGAUGCACCUCUCUUUUCCUGGAUUUUUAUCUCAAAGUAGUACACAUGCUAUACACAGACUUCAGUCCUGACAGCUUAAAAGACUUUGAUCGGACUUACCAGCCAAGUGGAGAAGUGCA